rnacentral:rRNA from 1 species
CAGUCGCGGUAAUACAGAGGGUGCGAGCGUUAAUCGGAUUUACUGGGCGUAAAGCGUGCGUAGGCGGCUAAUUGAGUCGGAUGUGAAAUCCCCGAGCUUAACUUGGGAAUUGCAUUCGAUACUGGUUAGCUAGAGUGUGGGAGAGGAUGGUAGAAUUCCAGGUGUAGCGGUGAAAUGCGUAGAGAUCUGGAGGAAUACCGAUGGCGAAGGCAGCCAUCUGGCCUAACACUGACGCUGAGGUACGAAAGCAUGGGGAGCAAACAGGAUUAGAUACCCCCGUAGUCCCUGUCUCUUAUACACA